GGAAUUGACGGGACCGCACAAGCAGCGGAGCGUGUGGUUUAAUUCGUUGCUACACGAAGAACCUUACCUGGGCUUGACAUAUAGGUUGUAGGGAACUGAAAACGGGACCGACCCUUCGGGGAGCCUAUACAGGUUGUUGCAUGGCUGUCGUCAGCUCGUGUCGUGAGAUGUUCGGUUAAGUCCGCUAACGAGCGCAACCCUCGUCGUAUGUUAUAUGUGUCAUACGAGACUGCCGGUAAAAGCCGGAGGAAGGUGAGGAUGAUGUCAAGUCAGCAUGACCUUUAUAUCCAGGGCUACACACACGCUACAAUGGUCUGUACAAUGGGUAGCCAAGCCGCGAGGCGGAGCCAAUCCUGAAAGCAGGCCUCAGUUCAGAUUGCAGUCUGCAACUCGACUGCAUGAAGCCGGAGUUGCUAGUAACCGCAGGUCAGCAAUACUGCGGUGAAUACGUUCCCGGGUCUU
rnacentral:rRNA from 1 species